rfam:Ornithorhynchus anatinus chromosome 4, whole genome shotgun sequence.
ACUCUCUCAGGAUCACACCUGGAGAGUUUCCAGUACUUUACCAGCCUCGACUAUGGGAGGGAGAGUCAAGCAGGGAUCUGGCCAUUCCAUUCCUUGCUUGGACAUUGGCUAGUGAGUGGAAGGUAAUCUGCUGCAGGU